rnacentral:lncRNA from 1 species
GGCCCAAAUCCAUCCUUACUCUAGAGCAACUCUUUGUUAAUAGAGUGGUUGUGUGUUUUCGAUGCAACUGAACUAUUGUGACCAGCUGAGAACAAUCAAUACCAGUACCACACCCAUACAUCUACAAUGGUGGAAGACCUAUGGACUUAAUAUUUAUAAAGAGAUUUAGAUUUAGAUCUCAUCUAAUCAGUCAUCAUAUGACCAAUCUAAUUGAUAUGGGCUAAACCAAACCACCA